rnacentral:rRNA from 1 species
GAUGAACGCUGGCGGCGUGGAUAAGGCAUGCAAGUCGAACGGUCCUUCGGGAUAGUGGCGGACGGGUGAGUAACACGUGGGAACGUACCCUUAGGUUCGGAACAACACAGGGAAACUUGUGCUAAUACCGGAUGAGCCCUUCGGGGGAAAGAUUUAUCGCCUUUGGAGCGGCCCGCGUCUGAUUAGCUAGUUGGUGAGGUAAUGGCUCACCAAGGCGACGAUCAGUAGCUGGUCUGAGAGGAUGGCCAGCCACACUGGGACUUGAGACACGGCCCAGACUCCUACGGGAGGCAGCAGUGGGGAAUCUUGCGCAAUGGGCGAAAGCCUGACGCAGCCAUGCCGCGUGGAUGAUGAAGGUCUUAGGAUUGUAAAAUCCUUUCACCGGGGACGAUAAUGACGGUACCCGGAGAAGAAGCCCCGGCUAACUUCGUGCCAGCAGCCGCCGUAA